AAAAUCUGCAAAAGUUGUUUCAUCCAUUGAUGAAUAAACAAAUAAAGAAGAAGGAGAAAGCAAUAUGAGGAAAGGCCUGAUACCAUAUCAAUGUAACAGUAAAUGAAAGAAUUGAAAGAGGAAUAAGGAGAAUUUAUUAAUAACCAUCAUAGGGUUCUAUUACAGAUAGAUGAUAAGUUUUACAAGUAAAAUCUUUUAUUUCUAUAAUACAGAAGGACACUAUUUAUAGUGAGACUUAACAAUUAUCCUAAAACCAAGGAGAGUAAAAAUAGAAAUUUUAUUACCAUGUUGAAAGUGAUAGCGAAUAACAGAAUAAUCUAACUAUUUAAUCUAAGGUAUCAUUAUGUAAUUCUUUCCUUGAGCAAGAAGAAAAUAUACAUGCUGUACAAUUCUCUGGACUAGCCUGAAAUUUUUUCUUAGCAACACCUCACUUCCUAUAUAUAACUGUACUCUUAUGUAAUUUGAAUGCCAACAACAUUUCAAUUAACAAUUAGAUAAAUAGAUAAUAAUGAGCCCAUAUAGAUGACAUUUAUGCUACAAUCUGCUCUGCCCAUGGAGAUGACAUUUGUUUAAAGAGAUCAUAAUGCUGCUUCUCAGCACCAUAUACCUCAGAACUCUCGGAAGAAACCAAAGAAUGAACCCAAGAGACAUCCGG
rnacentral:lncRNA from 1 species